CCUACGGGUGGCAGCAGUGGGGAAUAUUGCACAAUGGGCGCAAGCCUGAUGCAGCCAUGCCGCGUGUGUGAAGAAGGCCUUCGGGUUGUAAAGCACUUUCAGCGGGGAGGAAGGCGUUAAGGUUAAUAACCUUGUCGAUUGACGUUACCCGCCGAAGAAGCACCGGCUAACUCCGUGCCAGCAGCCGCGGUAAUACGGAGGGUGCAAGCGUUAAUCGGAAUUACUGGGCGUAAAGCGCACGCAGGCGGUCUGUCAAGUCGGAUGUGGAAUCCCCGGGCUCAACCUGGGAACUGCAUUCGAAACUGGCAGGCUAGAGUCUUGUAGAGGGGGGUAGAAUUCCAGGUGUAGCGGUGAAAUGCGUAGAGAUCUGGAGGAAUACCGGUGGCGAAGGCGGCCCCCUGGACAAAGACUGACGCUCAGGUGCGAAAGCGUGGGGAGCAAACAGGAUUAGAUACCCCGGUAGUC
rnacentral:rRNA from 1 species